UGCCACUCUAGCAUCUGCUUCCCAC
rnacentral:piRNA from 1 species